rnacentral:rRNA from 1 species
GACGAACGCUGGCGGCGUGCUUAACACAUGCAAGUCGAACGGAAAGGCCCUGCUGUUGUAGGGUGCUCGAGUGGCGAACGGGUGAGUAACACGUGAGUAACCUGCCCUUGACUUUGGGAUAACUUCAGGAAACUGGGGCUAAUACCGGAUAGGAGCUCCUGCUGCAUGGUGGGGGUUGGAAAGUUUCGGCGGUUGGGGAUGGACUCGCGGCUUAUCAGCUUGUUGGUGGGGUAGUGGCUUACCAAGGCUUUGACGGGUAGCCGGCCUGAGAGGGUGACCGGCCACAUUGGGACUGAGAUACGGCCCAGACUCCUACGGGAGGCAGCAGUGGGGAAUAUUGCACAAUGGGCGGAAGCCUGAUGCAGCAACGCCGCGUGCGGGAUGACGGCCUUCGGGUUGUAAACCGCUUUCGCCUGUGACGAAGCGUGAGUGACGGUAAUGGGUAAAGAAGCACCGGCUAACUACGUG